rnacentral:lncRNA from 1 species
GUUAUCAUUGCAUAAAUUGAUUUCUGCAUCAGUUAUUACAAGUCUUCCUAGAAUUUCUUGAAAAUACCUCACUCAUCAUUUCCUUUAGUGCAAUGAAAUUCUAGUAAGUUCAAAUACCAUUGUAGGAUGGAGCCUGGCACAGAGAGGGACCAAUGGGAAUGUUGGAAGCAGGGACAGUAGUGACAGUUGGAAGGAGCAAGGUGGCUUGUGGGAAAUGGAACAAAGGAGGAGGUCUUUUGCUCCCUGGACUCUGAGGAGAUGAGAGUGGAAGACUGGAGCUCGGGACCCCAAAGUCUGGGAGACCUGAGAUUUGCCUCAAUUUCCACUUGCACUGAAGAAUCAGAAAAAUCCCUGAAAUCACUGGAGUGUCGACCAAAGGAUCAGAGAUGCCAACAUCUGCUGCUGAUGGGGCGAUCAACCCCUAAGCCUCAUGGGAGGGGGGGGUCACCCAGAAGACCUGUCCGGACCUGUGCCUUCCCAAGAAAGACACUGGUGCUUCUCUGAUGUCUUUGGAGCAUAGACAUAGUAGUGCAACUCUCGCCUCAGAAAAUAUGCACAGUUAAGUACGUAGAGAAUGCUUUCAAAUUAUUCUCCAGAAUAGUUGGACCAUAUGACAACUCAGGCAACAGUUAAAUGUUUCUGCUUCCCCCUAACCUCUCCAACAUUUGUCAUUUUCCUCGUUUUUAUCCUUGCCAAUCAUAUGUAUUAAAAGAAAAAUCUCAGAGUUGAUAUAAUUUGUAUUUCUUCAAAAAAUCCUUACUUUUUCUCUUAAAAUGAAUAUUAGGUACUAAUUCCAUGGCAGAACAGAAGUAAGGGCUAGACAAUUGGGUUUAAUUGAUGUGAGGUUUAUUGGGAAAGGAAAUGGGAAUUGGAAAACAGGGGGAUAAUUGGGAGGUUUGUCUGGGGAUAUGGAGGAGUUAAGGGGAGAGAAGGUAUAUUGCUUGGUAAUGUAAGGGAGGGAGAUGCCCCCUGCUGAGAGAAAGCCACAGGGAUCCGAUAA